rnacentral:rRNA from 1 species
AUACGGAGGGUCCGAGCGUUAUCCGGAAUCAUUGGGUUUAAAGGGUCCGCAGGCGGGCUUGUAAGUCAGUGGUGAAAUACUGCCGCUUAACGGUAGAACUGCCAUUGAUACUGCAAGUCUUGAAUAUGGUUGAGGUAGGCGGAAUGUGUUGUGUAGCGGUGAAAUGCAUAGAUAUGACACAGAACGCCAAUUGCGAAGGCAGCUUACUAAGCCAUUAUUGACGCUGAGGCACGAAAGCGUGGGGAGCGAACAGGAUUAGAAACCCCGGUAGUCC